rnacentral:rRNA from 1 species
UACGCAGGGUGCAAGCGUUAAUCGGAAUUACUGGGCGUAAAGCGUGCGCAGGCGGUUUUGUAAGACUGUCGUGAAAUCCCCGGGCUCAACCUGGGAAUGGCGAUGGUGACUGCAAGGCUAGAGUUUGGCAGAGGGGGGUAGAAUUCCACGUGUAGCAGUGAAAUGCGUAGAUAUGUGGAGGAACACCGAUGGCGAAGGCAGCCCCCUGGGUCAAAACUGACGCUCAUGCACGAAAGCGUGGGGAGCAAACAGG